rnacentral:rRNA from 1 species
AGUGAACGCUGGCGGUAGGCCUAACACAUGCGAGUCGAACGGCAGCACAGUAAGAGCUUGCUCUUACGGGUGGCGAGUGGCGGACGGGUGAGGAAUACAUCGGAAUCUACUUUUUCGUGGGGGAUAACGUAGGGAAACUUACGCUAAUACCGCAUACGACCUACGGGUGAAAGCAGGGGAUCUUCGGACCUUGCGCGAUUGAAUGAGCCGAUGUCGGAUUAGCUAGUUGGCGGGGUAAAGGCCCACCAAGGCGACGAUCCGUAGCUGGUCUGAGAGGAUGAUCAGCAACACUGGAACUGAGACACGGUCCAGACUCCUACGGGAGGCAGCAGUGGGGAAUAUUGGACAAUGGGCGCAAGCCUGAUCCAGCCAUACCGCGUGGGUGAAGAAGGCCUUCGGGUUGUAAAGCCCUUUUGUUGGGAAAGAAAAGCAGCAGGUUAAUACCCCGCUGUUCUGACGGUACCCAAAGAAUAAGCACCGGCUAACUUCGUG